rnacentral:rRNA from 1 species
UGCCAUCAGCCGCGGUAAUACGGAGGGAGCUAGCGUUGUUCGGAAUUACUGGGCGUAAAGCGCGCGUAGGCGGAUUGAUUAGUCAGAGGUGAAAUCCCAGGGCUCAACCCUGGAACUGCCUUUGAUACUGUCAGUCUAGAGACCGAGAGAGGUGAGUGGAAUUUCCAGUGUAGAGGUGAAAUUCGUAGAUAUUGGAAAGAACACCAGUGGCGAAGGCGGCUUUCUGGACCGAUACUGACGCUGAGACGCGAAAGCGUGGGGAGCAAACAGGAUUAGAUA